rnacentral:rRNA from 1 species
GAUCAUGGCUCAGGAUGAACGCUAGCUACAGGCUUAACACAUGCAAGUCGAGGGGGCAGCAUGUUGGUUGCUUGCAACCAACGAUGGCGACCGGCGCACGGGUGAGUAACGCGUAUCCAACCUUCCGCAUACUCGGGAAUAGCCUUUCGAAAGAAAGAUUAAUGCCCGAUGGUUUCCCGAAUCCGCAUGAGAACGGGAAUAAAGAUUCAUCGGUAUGCGAUGGGGACGCGUCCCAUUAG